AUACGUAGGGAGCGAGCGUUGUCCGGAAUUACUGGGCGUAAAGGGCGCGUAGGCGGCGCUUCAAGUCGUCUGUCAAAUGGGAGGGCUUAACCCUUUUUCGCAGACGAAACUGGAGAGCUUGAGAAGCAGAGAGGCAAACAGAAUUCCUGGUGUAGCGGUGAAAUGCGUAGAUAUCAGGAAGAAUACCAGUGGCGAAGGCGGUUUGCUGGCCGCAUACUGACGCUGAAGCGCGAAAGCCAGGGGAGCAAACGGGAUUAGAUACCCCGGUAGUCCUGGCAGUAAACGAUGUAUGCUGGGUGUGAGACUAGCGAUAGUUUCGUGCCGAAGUUAACGCGAUAAGCAUACCGCCUGGGGAGUACGGUCGCAAGAUUGAAACUCAAAUGAAUUGACGGGG
rnacentral:rRNA from 1 species